rnacentral:rRNA from 1 species
GACGAACGCUGGCGGCGUGCUUAACACAUGCAAGUCGAGCGGUAAGGCCCUUUCGGGGGUACGCGAGCGGCGAACGGGUGAGUAACACGUGGGUGACCUGCCCUCAGCUCCGGGAUAAGCCUGGGAAACCGGGUCUAAUACCGGAUAUGACUCCAUGACGCAUGUUGUGGGGUGGAAAGCCUUGUGCGGCUGAGGAUGGGCCCGCGGCCUAUCAGCUUGUUGGUGGGGUGAUGGCCACCAAGGCGACGACAGGUAGCCGGCCUGAGAGGGCGACCGGCCACACUGGGACUGAGACACGGCCCAGACUCCUACGGGAGGCAGCAGUGGGGAAUCUUGCGCAAUGGGCGAAAGCCUGACGCAGCGACGCCGCGUGAGGGAUGACGGCCU